rfam:Capsicum annuum cultivar Zunla-1 chromosome 4, whole genome shotgun sequence
GUCCCUUUCGUCCAGUGAUUAGGACAUCAUAUUUUCAUGUCGAAGACAUGGGUUUGAUUCCCGUAAGGGAUA